ACCCUACGGGAGGCAGCAGUGGGGAAUUUUGGACAAUGGGGGCAACCCUGAUCCAGCAAUGCCGCGUGAGUGAAGAAGGCCUUCGGGUUGUAAAGCUCUUUUGUCAGGGAAGAAACGGUGGUGGCGAAUAACUACUACUAAUGACGGUACCUGAAGAAUAAGCACCGGCUAACUACGUGCCAGCAGCCGCGGUAAUACGUAGGGUGCAAGCGUUAAUCGGAAUUACUGGGCGUAAAGCGUGCGCAGGCAGUUGUGUAAGUCAGAUGUGAAAUCCCCGGGCUCAACCUGGGAAUUGCAUUUGAGACUGCACGGCUAGAGUGUGUCAGAGGGGGGUAGAAUUCCACGUGUAGCAGUGAAAUGCGUAGAUAUGUGGAGGAAUACCGAUGGCGAAGGCAGCCCCCUGGGAUAACACUGACGCUCAUGCACGAAAGCGUGGGGAGCAAACAGGAUUAGAAACCCUUGUAGUCCCAUG
rnacentral:rRNA from 1 species